UACGUAGGGGCUAGCGUUGUCCGGAAUCAUUGGGCGUAAAGAGCGUGUAGGCGGUCCGGUAAGUCCGCUGUGAAAGUCGGGGGCUCAACCCUCGAAUGCCGGUGGAUACUGUCGGGCUAGAGUGCGGAAGAGGAGAGUGGAAUUCCUGGUGUAGCGGUGAAAUGCGCAGAUAUCAGGAAGAACACCCGUGGCGAAGGCGGCUCUCUGGGACGGUAC
rnacentral:rRNA from 1 species